rnacentral:rRNA from 1 species
CACGUAGGGCGCAAGCGUUGUCCGGAAUUAUUGGGCGUAAAGAGCUCGUAGGCGGUCUGUUGCGUCCGCUGUGAAAACUCGGGGCUUAACCCCCGAGCCUGCAGUGGAUACGGGCAGACUAGAGGUAGGUAGGGGGAGAAUGGAAUUCCCGGUGUAGCGGUGAAAUGCGCAGAUAUCGGGAGGAACACCGGUGGCGAAGGCGGUUCUCUGGGCCUUACCUGACGCGAGGAGCGAAAGCGUGGGGAGCGAACAGG